rnacentral:misc_RNA from 1 species
GAUGAAGAACGUAGUGAAAUGCGAUAAGUAGUGUGAAUUGCAGAAUUCAGUGAAUCAUCGAAUCUUUGAACGCACAUUGCGCCUCCUGGUAUUCCGGGAGGCAUGCCUGUUCGAGCGUCAUUAAAAUCACUCAAGCUUAGGUUUACCUAUUGCUUGGUCUUGGAGAUGGAAGCCAAUUUAUUGGAAUCCUCUUCGAAAUUCAAUGGCGAAGACCCUUGCUCUCCCAAGUGUAGUAAUAACUUAUGUCACUGAAGGAAGCGAGAAAUCUUCUGCCGUAACCCCCAUAUUUUCUAUGAUUGACCUCGGAUCAGGUAGGGAUACCCGCUGAACUUAAGCAUAUCAAAAGCGGAGGA